AUUGAACGCUGGCGGCAUGCCUUACACAUGCAAGUCGAACGGUAACAGGUCUUCGGAUGCUGACGAGUGGCGAACGGGUGAGUAAUACAUCGGAACGUGCCCGAUCGUGGGGGAUAACGAAGCGAAAGAUUUGCUAAUACCGCAUACGAUCUACGGAUGAAAGCAGGGGACCGAAAGGCCUAGCGCGAACGGAGCGGCCGAUGGCAGAUUAGGUAGUUGGUGGGAUAAAAGCUUACCAAGCCGACGAUCUGUAGCUGGUCUGAGAGGACGACCAGCCACACUGGGACUGAGACACAGCCCAGACUCCUACGGGAGGCAGCAGUGGGGAAUUUUGGACAAUGGGCGAAAGCCUGAUCUAGCCAUGCCGCUUGCAGGAUGAAGGCCUUCGGGUUGUAAACUGCUUUUGUACGGAACGAAAAGACUCUGGUUAAUACCUGGGGUCCAUGACGGUACCGUAAGAAUGAGCACCGGCUAACUACGUGCCAGCCGCCGCAGUAACAC
rnacentral:rRNA from 1 species